GGCCUCAUAGCUCAACUGAAUAGAGCAUCUGACUACGGAUCAGAAGGUUUCAGGUUUGAAUCCUGAUGAGGUCACAA
rnacentral:tRNA from 1 species